UACGAGGGGGGCGAGCGUUGUUCGGAAUUAUUGGGCGUAAAGAGCUCGUAGGCGGUUUGUCGCGUCUGCUGUGAAAACGCGAGGCUCAACCUCGCGCCUGCAGUGGGUACGGGCAGACGUAGAGUGCGGUAGGGGAGAUUGGAAUUCCUGGUGUAGCGGUGGAAUGCGCAGAUAUCAGGAGGAACACCGAUGGCGAAGGCCGGUUCUCUGGGCCUUACCUGACGCUGAGGAGCGAAAGCGUGGGGAGCGAACAGG
rnacentral:rRNA from 1 species